CAGCUCAAUUGUCACAGCAUCCUAGAUAGUAACCGCGGUUGUAAAAGAAAUACAAUAAGAUUCGAGAACAUUUCGUUCCCUAAUGGUUUAUUAUCUUUACGGGUUUACUGUGUCACUCUGACAAGCAACCGUUUUUCGAUUAAUUCGAUAGUUUUUCUCUAAAUAUAUAUAUUUGCUAGCAUUGUCCACUUAAAUUAUCUGCUUUAACCUAUAACUUGUCCGUAGUUGGGACUCCGUACCUAUUCAAUGCGUGCUAAGUGCGUAAUAUUUGUGUCUUUCUGUGAAUCCAGUGAACAAUUGUAUUCUUAUUGCGGCCUCUAGAAUCUCCCAUUAAAAAUUUUCCCAGGGUUGGCGAACAUCCCUGUAUAUGAUCUAAGAUUACUACACUUUGCAAUUGACAUAACCUCAAAAGAUAGUAGUGGGUACGAUGGCGCCCAAUAUGAAACGUAGGCACUGUAGAAUUUUCGCAUCUCAAUUAGAAAAAAGAAAUGUUGCCAUAGCAAAGAAAUUAAUUUGGAAAAAUUGGCACCAAAUGUUUUGCAAUGAAAAUUUCACAUGAAACGAAGUUGUUUUCUAUUCUACUCUGGAUAAGCAGGCACCAAGGUUAUAAGAUUGCUCCUGUACCUAGAAACUCAAGGGGUUCUGUACCUGAGUACCAAGGAAGUCUGAGCUGAUGAGAAAAAAUAUGAAUUUCUUUCGUCCAAUUUUGCUAGAUUUAUGGCUAUGGAAGCCCCCAUGGAAAUGGAACCAACUCUGGGUACAAAUAUGCUCUGGAUGGUGAGAAGCUGUCACUUAUGGAUGUUUUAUGCGUUUAAAUGCUCGGCCACAAUCAAUUACAAGAACCAAUUUACGACACAAUAAGAUAUGCUUGGGUUAUCGGGAAAUCGUUCACAUUUGAUCAAUGUGAAUGAGGCGGCCUUCCCAAUGGAAUUGAAUACGCAAAGUCUUGUAUGUGCAAAAAUAGAGCUUUCGUUAGAUACACGCGAUUACUAAAAUUUAAAUAUUUCGAUUAUUUUUUAUGAAAAAGUACCACGCAAGUUCGUGCACUUCAUAAAUUUAAAAUAGCAAUUAAAUUCAAUUCUUAAAGACAUACAUCUGAAUAUCGGUGAAAAGUAUAGAAUAUCGUAUUCAAGCGUGUGAUUGAAAAAAAAUUGUAAAAAUGAAAAAAAAAUCCUGUACAGAUUGAUUCAGUAAGACUCAAAAACCUACACCGCGUCAUCAUAUUACCACAAGGCGAACGUCUUACUGAUCAGGCUGUAGUACAUUGAUUUUUUAAACAUGUAAUUAUACUUUAUCAAAUAAACAUCAAU